UCUCUGUCGUUUUGUCUCUUUCUCCACAUGAUGAUCGUCCUUCUUCCUCAUCAUCUCCUCCUCCAUCUUCACUUUCUCCAUCAUGGUAAACAAUUAUUUCUCUUGCCUCUUAAACAACCAUCAUGCAAGGUAAACAUGACAUCCGGCUAACGUGUGAUCCCGCACAUAGACACAUAAACACAUAAACAAACACCACCAAGAUGGGUACCAAUGUUUUCAAUGACUAUAGAGAUAUAAAUUAGGAUGAUGAUCACUAGAGAGAGAGAGAGAGAGAGAGAUGACAAAAAAUAGUCCAAUGAGUGUUGGUAAGAUUCCUUGGGAGAUAUGAAAUGUUAACCAUGCAUCACACGACACACGAAAGACAAUAUCAUCUCUAUGAGUGAGAGAGAAACAAAACAAAACAACAAAAUGAAAGAAAAAGAUAAAAAAGUCAAGUGAAAACACCCGUAGAUGUGAAUAUUGAGCAAGGAAAAGGGCGAAAAUUAUUUUUCCAUGAAAAUCAAUCAAAGAUGAAAAAGAAAAGAAAAAACAAAAGACAAAACUCACAUGGAUUCUAUUCAGUUGUCAUCCUGUUACUGGUUAAAUUCACUGAUGUUUAUUUUUCUUUUACAGAAUGUAACAGUGUUUUCCAAACCAGGAAGUUGAUUAAUUGUGAUUAAUUGGUUACAACAAUGAGAGAAUUUCAAUUAACCACAAUGUUAAAAGAAAACGUGUUUCUCUGAAUGGUGACUAUUGGAAGAGAUUAACUGAUGAGGUGCAAUAAGAGAUGUUCAUUGGCAUUUAUUCUUGGGAUGAGUUGGAGAAAGUAAUUCAUUUGCAAAGAGAUUAAUCACCAUAACGAAUUGGAAUCUGAUGAACCUACUAAGAAGCUCAAGGAUUUAAUCGGUUUGGAUUUCUCUCUUUUUCGGUUUAGUGACAUUCAUGGUGUUUAUGACCUGUUUAGAAUCACAUUUACACCUUUAGAUGUUGAUGAUGAUGAUGAUUAUCGACAAUCAUGGUAAUCAUAUUCCGAUUACUGGUGAUGGGGAAACAAUGAUGAUGAUAGAUCAAAAUUCCUUAAAUUUGCUUUAUCAUGAUUAACUAAAUUCAUCCAGUUAAAUCAUCCAAUUUACACUUACACCAGAAAAACAAAACACAUCCUUGGUUUGUAAAUCAUAAUAUCUGAAAGGCUCUCGUUUACCAGUCAACAAUUAACAUGAUGAUGAUCAUAAUCAUAACGAUAUUUCACCAUAAUUCAUGAUAUCUAUAUGGUGGUUACCUUUACUUUCCUUCAAUUGGAACAGAAAAUGGAUCCAGACUUUAAUUUUCAUCCGAUAUCACAAUUAACCUAAAACUCAACAUCAUUUUAAUUCCUCUCUAGUUAAAUUACCAUUUAAUUUUUUUAACCAUCUCUAAGUGGAACUAAUCAAUUUGAAAUGAUUAAUUCAGAUGAACAAGGCAACACAACAGAAACAUUUAACUCUCCUGAAAGGUUUGAAAUCUAUUCAGUGGUAACAAAUUGUCUUCCUUUCAAACUUGCAUACACUUUUAUUCAAAUUUGAUUGUGGUUGAAGGAAUUGACUAAUUACCAAACCAAUUCAAUGUGAAACAGUUAAUUAGACACGAAAAACGCAUAACUGGCGAUAGUGGUGAAAAAAAAGGAAGCGUCAAUUGAUAAUAAUCACAAUUAACGGUAAACCCGAAAAUAAGUAAACCAAAAAGGUAAAUUAAAAUAACCAUUUAACCAUAAAAAAAAGGUGAUCAUCAAUAAACAAUAAUAAUAAGAGACGAUUAUCAUUUGAUUCAAACAAAAUUAAGUUUAUGUUUGAUGUAAAUAUAUAGAUUUCGAUUUGUUGUUGUUGAUUAGAUUAAAUUGCUGGUUAAUACAAAGACACAAAAGGUUAAUUUAACAAAAAUACAAGUUGAUUGGUGUACAUAAAUUAAAUUGUAAAAUUGAAAAAAAUAUACACUCAUCUACGAUAUUAUCAAGAUUAUCAUUGAAGAAAAACUUUUUUCAAUUGUUUCAAUUAAACUCACACUGAGUGUAGUAUGUAAAUUAUUACUAUUAAUUGUAAUUAGCUAAUUGUGUGAAUGUAUUGUGAAGAUUUUGGCAACUUAUUUGGUAGAUGAUAAAUAUUAUUAUCACCGUUGUUUUUUUUUCUUGUUUCUUUUGCAUAGUUAAUUGGAUUUCCAGGUAAUUCAGGUAGGAUAAGUGUCGUUGUUUGUGAUGAAUUGUAAUGAUGAUAAUUGGUCCAUUAAGUUGAUUGAUUGGUCCACUUUCCAAAAAAAAAGAGAGAAAAACAAAUGAUUGAGAGGAAAAGAAAAGUAUCAGCAGCAAGAGGAA